GACGAACGCUGUCGGCGUGCUUAACACAUGCAAGUCGAACGAAGUGGCGAACGGGUGAGUAACGCGUAAUCAACCUGCCCUUCAGAGGGGGACAACAGUUGGAAACGACUGCUAAUACCGCAUACUGAUGGCGGGGAUUGCGUCCGAUGAGCUAGUUGGAGGGGUAACGGCCCACCAAGGCGAUGAUCAGUAGCCGGUCUUAGAGGAUGAUCUGCCACAGUGGGCCUGAGACACGGCCCAGACUCCUCCGGGAGGCAGCAGUGGGAAAUCUUCCGCAAUGGACGGAAGUCUGACGGAGCAACGCCGCGUGGGUGAUGACGGCUUUCGGGUUGUAAAGCUCUGUUAAUCGGGACGCGGUACCGGAAUAGAAAGCCACGGCUAACUACGUGCCAGCAGCCGCGGUAAUAC
rnacentral:rRNA from 1 species